rnacentral:piRNA from 1 species
UGUGGGAUGCCCCCUCUCAGGUGUUGC